ACAAUUAAUUGGAAUUAUUGUAUUUUUGUCAACUGUUAAUUUAAUUAAGGACGACUGUGGAUUGAUCAGAUGAAAGAGUUUUUUAGUGAUUAUUUAUGUUUGAUUUCCCAAAUUUUGUAGGGUAACAGUAGUGAUGAUGUGCACAUGAUCAGUGAUGAACGCAUGCAUGCAUGUAAAGUUGCAUUUAACUUUGGUGAAGAAAGGUCUCCUUGCCGUAUGAUUAGCUUAGUUUCUUUUCCAAGGAACUGUGGCAAGAAAAGGGAGCAAGAAAGCGAUCCUACUGCAGCAGCAAAUUAUCUAUAAAUGAAGUGUUUCCAUCAAUGCCUCCUGCAAAUGCAGAUAUGAUGAUGAAGAUGGCUUUGAAAUUCUGAUGGAGAUCUCAUGGCCACAUGCAUGCCCAACCAUUGAAAAAGGCCCCGGACUAGCUAGCUAGCUGCAUGCAGGAUUUGCAGGUUUUCAAAAACAUAUUUGAAAUAUAAAACUUUCGAGUAUGAUUAUAUAUAUAUGUGUGUGUGUGUGUGUGUGUGUGUGUGUGUGUGUGUGACGUACAUGAUAAGCACCAUGUAUGCAUUAGAGAUUAAUAACAAGCACAUAUUGAAACCUUCAAAAAGCCCGUUUGCAAA